rnacentral:lncRNA from 1 species
CCAUAUUCAAUCAUAUCUUAUAAAAAUGUUAAAAUGUAAGUAAAAACAAGUAAUUAAUAACAUACAAACUUACUCGUUUGCAUCCUUAUCAAUAAUGCAUCAUAAUCUGAACAUAUUAUUUAUGAGUCUUAUAUACAUACCUGUGCCUAGUCAUAAUACUCACAUAUCCUACUCUUACUUAUCUUGAGCAUACUCCUUGAAUUUCCCGUUGAACUACUUGUAAUAUUAGGGAUGUUCGGGAUAUCUCGUAUACCGAGUAGGAUGCCAAUGCCAUAUCCCAGAUAUGGUCUUACAUGGGAUCACAUAUCGGUGCCGAUGCCAUGUCCCAGACAUGGUCUUACACUGACUCUCCUCUGUCCGUGCCGAUGCCAUGUCCUAGACAUGGUCUUACACUAGCACUUCUCGGUCUGCGCCAAUGCCAUGUCCCAGACAUGGUCUUACACUGGCACACUCGCUGCCAUGGUCCAACCAUGGUCUUUUCUGUCAAUUCAUCACGUGUUGUAGUACUAAUAUACUUGACCCUGUAUUUCUCACGAUUGAUCAUUCAAUCUAAUCUCAUACUUGCAUAAAGUCAUCAUUAGAUAACAAAUAUAUAUAAAAUAAUACAUCAUCUCAAUUCAAAUUUAAUAAUCGAUCACUUAGACUAACCAUAUGAACUUACCUCAACGCGAAUCGAUAAUUUUGAUUUAUAUUUCCCCAUACUUGGUCCAAAUCUCGAUUUAUUUGAUCUAAAAUGUCACAUUUCACUUAAUUAUCACUCACAUUACUCAUUUUAAUACAAAAACUAUACUAUGGAAAAUUUACAAUUUUGCCCCUAAACUUUCUCAUAAUUACAAUUUUACCCCUAGGCUCGUAAUAUGAUUUUUAUUCAAUUUCCAUAACAUUCAAGGUUAGCCAAACCUUUUUCUCUUCUAAAGCAACCUCAAAUUGUUAUUAUUUCACACUUUUAUGACCAUUUACAACUUUUACUAAUUAACCUGUUUUAACUAUUUUCAACGAAAAUCACUUAGCAAAAAUCUUUCUCCUAACCUCGUGCACUCUUAUUCUACCAUUAAACAUCAAAAUGCACAAAUAUCUAGCAUGGGUCAAUUUUUAAACUUCAUUUUUCAUGCAAAUAAAUGGUAAAAAUAGAAAGGUUAAGCUUCUAGGAUAUCAAAAAUACGAAGAACAUUAAAAAUGGGGCUCAAAUGCACUUACAAUUGAACUUUGAAAAAGCUUGAAACCCUAGCCAUGACUUUUUGAAAAUUUCUGCAGCAUAGAGA